GACAAAGGUCCCAAGCGUUGUUCGGAUUCACUGGGCGUAAAGGGUGCGUAGGUGGUGAGGUAAGUCGGAUGUGAAAUCUCCAAGCUCAACUUGGAAACUGCAUUGGAAACUACCUUGCUAGAGGAUUUGAGGGGGGAUUGGAAUACUUGGUGUAGCAGUGAAAUGCGUAGAUAUCAAGUGGAACACCAGUGGCGAAGGCGAAUCCCUGGAAAAUACCUGACACUGAGACACGAAAGCUAGGGGAGCAAACAAG
rnacentral:rRNA from 1 species